rnacentral:rRNA from 1 species
AGUGAACGCUGGCGGUAGGCCUAACACAUGCAAGUCGAACGGCAGCACAGUAAGAGCUUGCUCUUACGGGUGGCGAGUGGCGGACGGGUGAGGAAUACAUCGGAAUCUACUUUUUCGUGGGGGAUAACGUAGGGAAACUUACGCUAAUACCGCAUACGACCUACGGGUGAAAGCAGGGGAUCUUCGGACCUUGCGCGAGUGAAUGAGCCGAUGUCGGAUUAGCUAGUUGGCGGGGUAAAGGCCCACCAAGGCGACGAUCCGUAGCUGGUCUGAGAGGAUGAUCAGCCACACUGGAACUGAGACACGGUCCAGACUCCUAAGGGAGGCAGCAGUGGGGAAUAUUGGACAAUGGGCGCAAGCCUGAUCCAGCCAUACCGCGUGGGUGAAGAAGGCCUUCGGGUUGUAAAGCCCUUUUGUUGGGAAAGAAAAGCAGCAGGUUAAUACCCCGCUGUUCUGACGGUACCCAAAGAAUAAGCACCGGCUAACUUCGUG